CCGAGUGUGAACGCUGAUGACUGCAAGAAGCGGUAGAAGCAGUUGUGCGAUGCAUAUGUGAAGUACAAAGGGAAAAAAACAUGCUAGUGGGUCUGCAGGUGGCAGCCAGAAAGAAUGGAGAUUAGCCCAUGUCUUCAUCUUUUUAGAUCCCUAAUUGCAGCCCAGAAGUACAAGUACUCUCCAGAGGGAUGAAGACAUAGAUUUCACCCAUGUGGGAGAUGAGGGAGCAUCUGAUGGAUCACCACAGCAAGCAUCAAGGCCUACCACACCCACACCCAUGCCCAGAUCAUCCUCUCCAUUUGAUUCAUGUCAGAGGUCUGCUACAGCCACACCACCGCAGCAACCAACCAGGUCUGCCACCCCCCACCACACCCCAGAGUUCAACAACUUUCAUCCGGGUCAGCUGCACCACAGACAAGCAGAAAGAGGAGGCAGGGAUCUUCAGGUGCUGUGGCUGUUGAGCAGCAGCUAUUUGAAACUCUGACAGUAGAUAAGGUCACCCCUCCCUUCCGUGUCCCAACCCGUGAAGAGACUUUAUGUUAACAGUUUUAUCCCCCGUGUGAACGAUCUGCCACUUGUGCUGCAGAAUCGCUUCCAGGCUCAAUUAUUACAUUUGGUUGAAACUUUGGAGGAGGAAGCCAAAGCUCUGUCCCAUCAACCACCACAACCAUCUAAUAUUUGGCAGCAACACACCACACAGCCAAAUCCUAGUUCUUUCCAGGGCCACACACCCCCGCCAACACAGCCUCAUUCGCACUCCACAUUUCAAACUGCCCAUCAUCACCAACCCCCGUCCCAACACCACCAACCCCCCUCCCAAAGUGGAGGUGCAAAGCGGCCAAGAUCAUUGUUGGAGGAACUUGAAGACCCCGACAUCCCUUAUUAUGAAGAUGUCUGACCAGAAAAAAAUUAAAGAAGGCUGAUAGAAAUUCUUAAAAAAAAAAAUGUAAAUAUAGUUCUAUUUCAUUGUUUUUGUGUAUGUACUUGUAGUCUUGGUUAAGAUUUUUUUUUUUAAGGUUUGCUGUGUGUGUGAUUUUUUUGUGAGUGGAAAUCAUAAUAUUUUUAA